rnacentral:rRNA from 1 species
ACGGCUCAGUAACACGUGGUCAACAUACCCAGAGGACGUGGAUAACCUCGGGAAACUGAGGAUAAACCGCGAUAGACCAUAAUGUCUGGAAUGAUUUAUGGUUCAAAUCUAUAUGGCCUCUGGAUUGGACUGCGGCCGAUCAGGCUGUUGGUGAGGUAAUGGCCCACCAAACCUGAAACCGGUACGGGCUCUGAGAGGAGAAGCCCGGAGAUGGGCACUGAGACAAGGGCCCAGGCCCUAUGGGGCGCAGCAGGCGCGAAACCUUUGCAAUAGGCGAAAGCCUGACAAGGUUACUCUGAGUGAUCUCCGCUAAGGAAAUCUUUUGACACCUCUAAAAAUGGUGUAGAAUAAGGGGUGGGCAAGCCUGGUGUCAGCCGCCGCGGUAAUACCAGCACCCCGAGUGGUCGGGACGAUUAUUGGGCCUAAAGCAUCCGUAGCCGGUUCUUUAAGUCCUCCGUUAAAUCCACCUGCUUAACAGAUGGGCUGCGGAGGAUACUAUAGAGCUAGGAGGCGGGAGAGGCAAGCGGUACUCAGUGGGUAGGGGUAAAAUCCGUUGAUCCAUUGAAGACCACCAGUGGCGAAGACGGCUUGCCAGAACGCGCUCGACGGUGAGGGAUGAAAGCUGGGGGAGCAAACCGGAUUAGAUACCCGGGUAGUCCCAGCUGUAAACGAUGCAGACUCGGUGAUGAACAGGCUUCGUGCCUGUUCAGUGCCGCAGGGAAGCCGUUAAGUCUGCCGCCUGGGGGAGUACGGUCGCAAGACUGAAACUUAAAGGAAUUGGCGGGGGAG